GAGAAGAACGUAGUGAAAUGCGAUAAGUAAUGUGAAUUGCAGAAUUCAGUGAAUCAUCGAAUCUUUGAACGCACAUUGCGCCCAUUAGUAUUCUAGUGGGCAUGCCUGUUCGAGCGUCAUUAAUUCCACUUAAGCCCUGCUUAGUGUUGGGAAUCUACUCUAGUGGUGCUACCCUGGAGCUACCCCUGAAAGGGGGCUGGCCCGGUAGCUACCCUGUAGUUCCUCAAAGAUAGUGCGCGGAGUUGCGUGGUCCUCUGAGCUUAGUAACUAUACACCUAGCUUUUGAGUGUCCCGCGGCGCCUGCCGUUUAAACCCCAUCUUUUAAUGGUUGACCUCGGAUCAGGUAGGAAUACGCGCUGAACUUAAGCAUAUCAAUAAGCGGAGGA
rnacentral:misc_RNA from 1 species